rnacentral:tRNA from 1 species
GGGGAUAUAGCUCAGUUGGUAGAGUGCUUGCCUCACAUGCACAAGGCCUUGGCUGGGUUCAAUCCCCAGCACCACCA